GGAUUCCCCUAGUAACUGCGAGUGAACCGGGAAAAGCUCAAAUUUAAAAUCUGGCAGUCUUUGGCUGUCCGAGUUGUAGUCUGGAGAAGCGUCUUCCGCGCUGGACCGUGUAAAAGUCCCCUGGAAUGGGGCCUCAUAGAGGGUGAGAAGCCCGUCUUUGACAUGGACUGCCAGUGCUUUGUGAUGCGCUCUCGAAGAGUCGCGUUGUUUGGGAAUGCAGCGCAAAAUGGGUGGUAAAUUCCAUCUAAAGCUAAAUAUAGGCGAGAGACCGAUAGCGAACAAGUACCGUGAGGGAAAGAUGAAAAGCACUUUGGAAAGAGAGUUAAACAGUACGUGAAAUUGCUGAAAGGGAAACGCUUGAAGUCAGUCGCGUUAUGCAGAACUCAGCCCGGCUUUGGCUAGGUGUAUUUUCUGUAUGACGGGCCAGCAUCAGUUUUGGCCGCUGGAAAAGGGCUCCGGGAAUGUGGCACCUUCGGGUGUGUUAUAGCCUGGGGGUCGCAUGCAGUGGCUGGGACUGAGGUCUGCAGCACGCCUUUAUGGCUGGGGUUCGCCCACAUUCGUGCUUAGGAUGCUGGCGUAAUGGCUUUAAGCGACCCGUCUUGAAACACGGACCAAGGAGUCUAACAUGCCUGCGAGUGUUUGGGUGGAAAACCCGAGCGCGCAAUGAAAGUGAAAGUCGGGAACCCUGUCGCGGGGUGCACCGAUGCCCGGCCCAGAGCUUUUUGUGACGGUGCUGCGGUGGAGCAUGUAUGUUGGGACCCGAAAGAUGGUGAACUAUGCCUGAAUAGGGUGAAGCCAGAGGAAACUCUGGUGGAGGCUCGUAGCGAUUCUGACGUGCAAAUCGAUCGUCAAAUUUGGGUAUAGGGGCGAAAGACUAAUCGAACCAU
rnacentral:rRNA from 1 species